GACGAACGCUGGCGGCGUGCCUAACACAUGCAAGUCGAGCGAGGGGAGUUCUUCGGAACAAACCUAGCGGCGAACGGGUGAGUAACACGUGGGCAACCUGCCCCUAGCUCUGGGAUAACUCCUCGAAAGAGGUGCUAAUACCGGAUAUCACCUCCCUGGACAUCCAGGGUGGUUGAAAGUUUUUCGGCUAGGGAUGGGCCCGCGGCCUAUCAGCUUGUUGGUGGGGUAAUGGCCUACCAAGGCGACGACGGGUAGCCGGCCUGAGAGGGCGACCGGCCACACUGGGACUGAGACACGGCCCAGACUCCUACGGGAGGCAGCAGUGGGGAAUAUUGCGCAAUGGGCGAAAGCCUGACGCAGCAACGCCGCGUGAGGGAUGACGGCCUUCGGGUUGUAAACCUCUUUCAGCAGGGACGAAGCGAAAGUGACUGUACCUGCAGAAGAAGCGCCGGCUAACUACGUGCCAGCCGCCGCGGUAAGAC
rnacentral:rRNA from 1 species